UGGGGAAUUUUGCGCAAUGGGGGAAACCCUGACGCAGCGACGCCGCGUGGAGGAUGACGGCCUUCGGGUUGUAAACUCCUGUCAGAAGGGACGAAAUCCCGCAAGGGACUGACGGUACCUUCAGAGGAAGCCCCGGCUAGCUACGUGCCAGCAGCCGCGGUAAUACGUAGGGGGCAAGCGUUGCUCGGAAUUACUGGGCGUAAAGGGUGAGUAGGCGGUCGAGCAAGUCAAGGAUGAAAUCCCGAGGCCCAACUUCGGAAUUGUUCUUGAAACUGCUCGACUUGAGGGUAGUUGAGGAGAGUGGAAUUCCCGGUGGAGCGGUGAAAUGCGUAGAUAUCGGGAGGAACACCUGAGGCGAAGGCGGCUCUCUAAACUACUCCUGACGCUGAAUCACGAAAGCUAGGGGAGCAAACGG
rnacentral:rRNA from 1 species